UCCCAGGCUGCUUCCUAACACUGGUUAGCUCUCAGGCAGCCAAUUAGCUUUGGAUGCCUGUGAGGCACUUGAUGUUGAGACUGGUUGACUGUAGACUGAUAUCCCUUAGUUAAAUUGUCCUCAUGCCUCCUCAUACAGAUAGGCCUAUUGAAUAAAUCUGCCAGAUUAUUUUUAACAUUGCAUAUGCCUAACAUUAUGUGAUAAUACUAAUCACACUCAUAUUGCCUUUCUCUUUCAGUUCAUGAAGAAAUGGCGCCCAGGAAGGUAGGAUGGAAGCGGAAGGCCCUGCAGGUGUCAAAAGGUGGACCAUCUGCAAAGAUCGCAAUUUUCCACCAGUCACCACUGGUUGGUGGAGCCUC